UGGUCUACGAUGAUUGCUAAGCUUUGUGUAAUGGGUCCCUACUAUAUCUUUUUGUGAAAAAACGGCACAAAAUAUUGAGUAUUCAAAUUCUUUAUUUUAAGAAUCACCCUUUUAUUAUAAAAAAAAAAACAUUCAUUGGGAUUUAAAACACUUGCCUACUGAACAUGGCUGUGAUUCAGGUUAUUUGAUAUUUGACCUUCUCAGAAUCUUGUGUCCACAAAUCAGUUACGACUUAUGAAAAUUUAUGUUCAUGCUAAUGAUACGUGUACACAAAGUAGAUGGGUAUUGCUCAUUUAAUUCUCUAACUUCAUUUUCCCUUUUCUGAUGUUGAAUGUUUUCUUGUUAUUACAGAAAAGAGAAAAUUUUAUUAAUCCAAAGAAACCCUGUAUUUUUUUUAAGGUCGGUGCAGAUUGAGUUUUAGAAAGGAAAAUGUAAGAUAUAGGGAACAAAGAUUUCUUAAAAGUUUACGAGACGUCUGACAAGAAUGAAUGUUUGGUUUCUUAGGCCUGCAUUUAAAAUGUGGUUUUUAAAACCAUCGGUUGAAUUCAUGGUUUGAAUUAUAGUGUAUAAAUAAUGCUUGAUUUACUGCAUAAAAAUGUCCAAUGCUGAUGCAGGCUUUUGUCACAGUGUGCCAAAUUGACGCCUGUUGCCAUGGCUAAGUACGCUAUUUUAUUCAUGAGUCCACUGUUUGAAGUGUGUUGUACUCAUAAUUCAAAACAAUGGACUCGUUAAUAAAAAAGCGCGGAUAACCAUGGCAACAGGCACCAAUUUGGCGCACUGUGACGAAAGUGCGCAUCAGCAUAGGACAUCUUUUAAUAUACACAGUAAAUAAGCAUAAUUUUUACAGGAAAUUUGUAAAACUAUGGGUUCGACCGAUGGUUUUAAAAACCACUUCUGUGAAUUCGGGCCUUAAGGUUUGUAAUGGUAAAACUGCCUGAUCAGGGAGUAGUUCAUGAAAUAUUAUUAUUAGGGGCUAUUGAUAUAUGCGAUUAAAAAACUAAUAAUAACAAUGAUAACCUCCUAUUAUACCCAGGGUAGCCAGUUCCGAAAUGGUUCUUACAUGUACCAGAGGACCCUGCUUGACAAGAUGAUAUUAUUAGUAGCCCGGCUUUAGCAUGACUACCUUUAUCAAUCCUUGUAUCCAAUUGACUCAAAACAAAUUACUCAGUAGAAGUCACUGACAAGAAACUUAUGAACUCUCCCCUGAAGUAUAUUUCUAGGAGAUGACGAGUGUUUUGUCUUUCCAAGCGUGGAUGUCUAUUGACUGAUAUAUGUGUUUUAUCACAAGCUUUAUGAAUUCAUAGAUUUUGAAAGGUUUGCAAUUGUCUUUUGCCCUAGUAGUUCCUGUACGAAGUGUUGAUAUCACAAAACAUUUUUUGUUUUAUCCAUUUUAGAAUUUUUAUACCACAUCUAAGCAGAGCAUGAUAAGAAACAUCCACAACCCAAAUAUCGUUGGAAUCGGUCCAUAGGGACCCAAGAUAUGGCCAUAUGAAUACCUACUAAAGCACUUCUGAAGUGAGUGUAAAGUAAACUGGGCUAGGUCAUUGCUGUUUGGUUAUUGAAAUAUGGUCUUGAAAAUGCUGAAAUGCACAUAAAGCAAACUGAUGUCACUCUAAUGGUACUCUAAUGGAACUGUUCAAAGUUUACUUUUAUAUGUACAGUAUGCAAUUCUUAACUGCUUUGAUAGUGUAAUGUCCUUUUUUUAUCCCUUGAGUUAGAAUGAGCCAGUUUAGAGUUUCAUUCUGCCCAUCGGCUGAAAAGAAUCAUUUACAUGGUGGUUUUCUACUUCCCCAAGAUUGGCAUUAUUGUACAAUAAUAUCCAUUUUACAAUUUUGUUCAUUUGCUUUUGAUGAAAUCCUCUGUAAAGCAACACACCUUUCACUUAAAUGGUUGGUAUUUGGAAGUGGGCCUAAUAACAGUCACCACCGUAGCACAAAAUGAAACUGGUCUUUAUUACUAGAUUGAGAUAUCAGUAUGUGAUUUGGAUCAUUUCUUGUAAACUCUUUUUAGGCAGGGAUGUAGUCAAUGUCAGUACAUGACUACAUGUAUGUCCAAGUCACAAGGCCUCUGGAGAAAAAAAAACUCCUCCCAUAGACUUUGUACAUGUGUCUUUGCCCAUAGCCAGGGUCGGCAGGGUGUGGCCUCAACUACAUCUUUGUUAUUAGGUAAUAAGUGUUGGGGGUUAGAUAGCGAAGCAAUCUGAAUUGUGCUUUUGACACCAAUACUAAGCACCCAACAUGUACAUGUAUGCUUUGCAAAGUGGCUAUUGAUGCAUACCUGGGCCUUGUUGUACAAAGAUUUGUGAUAAGUGAUCCAAUCAACCACAACUAUGGAAAGCCAGCAGCGUCAGCAUUUCAAAUGCAUGUUUGUUCAAAUUAAUUUCUAGAUACGAUGUAUAUUCAUGCAUUCAUCAUUUUCUUGAAAAUUCAAUAUGCUCCUCUUUGUUCACAAAGAACAUUGUGCAAAUUUCCUUUAGAAAAAAUUAUGACAUUGGUGGAUUUCCAUAUAGUUGAUCGGAUCAAUAGUAACUCUUGUUAAGACGGGGCCUUGAUCUUGGUGGGUGUUACAGCUGUUACAUGCAGUCUUAUGCACAACUGGAACUUGUUCUUAGGUGCCAAUUCAGCUUCAUUGGGAUAUCAUGUAGCACAAGAAAUGGUCACCAGUAGAGCGUCAUGUCAUUUGUAAUAUAUGAACAGCAAUACAACCCCAUCCCGGGGUGGGUUUCGCAAAAGAGGCCCAUAUUUUGAAGUUGGGUUUUAUUUAAACUCUGGUCUAAAAUUGUGGUUUAACUAUGGAAAGCCAAUUGUGACAUAAAUCUCUAACAGCAGACUUUCAUAGUAUCAACUCAUUUGACUCUCAAAUCAUUCACAAGUGUCUGGGAAGGAUAGAUAAGAUAAUUGUCUUCACCAUAAAUGAAUUAGGAAAGUGCACAGUUAAACAUAACAAACAUACCAUGUGAAGUAAUUUUGACAUGUUUUGCUUCUGUUAAUUUUAGCACAGAGUUAGAACACAGUCUUAGUUAAACUGAGUUCAGAAUACGGACCAUAGACACUUGAAUUCAAUUUGUGUGUGGUGUUUAACGUAUCGCUGCAUUUGUCAGACCAUGCUCAAAGGAUGCAUGCUACUCUGCAUUAAUCCAGGAGAGUGAGCACUUAUAUAAUGUGCGCAUCGACAUUUCAGGCAUGACUUUACAUCUUUCUAAAACAUCCCCAGGUCUAUACAAUGUCUGUCUUUCAUAGAGUUUUUAAUCCUGCAUGUAUCACAAAGAUUGGUGAACUGAGAUAUCAUUUCUGUUUGAAAAGACACUAAUGUUGCAGGAAACCUAUUCCAAAUCUAUACUAAGGGACAAGGGUAAAUUUUUUUUAAAUGAGAUACGAUGGUUUUGAUCAGUUUUGAGUCAGACUGGUUGGUGUGACUGCAAAAUCAGACAGUAAUUUUGUGUUGCUUCACGUUUAACAAAGAAGCCAUUGAUGUCUUCGUAAUCCGCAUCAAGUCUCGGACUAUAUCCACAAAAAGUGAUGCUUAUAGUCUGACCUUAAUAUGGCAUUGCAUUUUUCUAUAUCUGUAUUUUUAUUUUGCUUACAUGUAUGGCUUUAAGGUUGAUUAAUUCUAAUUUUCAUAUAGGUCAUAUAAUGAGUACAUGUAUGUUUACUUCUUCAAAAAGCAUUUAUGAAACAUCUUAUAUUUUUCUUUCAUAUUAAAGGGAUUUUUUGUAGAGUUAAUUUUGACUUUCAAGUGUUACAUGUACUUUGAAGAAUAGUAUCUUACACACCAGCAUUGACAUUUGUAGUGCACGCAAAUUGGAAUCAGGGAUAAUCUUUUUUUUUCUGAGGCUACUUUUAGAGCUCAUAGAUUAGCCCAAUUUUGCCUCAUUGUAUUACAGUUUUAUUGGACCCUUUUGGAAUUCCAUGGACCCUUUAUUUAUUUUCUAGGGCUCUGUAGGGCAUUUUGGGGGUGAAUUCCCAUCUAGCCCCCAUGUAUUUUUCCCCCUGAUUUGCAGACGUAUGAUUUUACUUCAUUUAGGUAUACAGCUCUGCAAAGGUCAAGCUCAAUCUCCUUCCGCUCCGCAAAAUGGUUAAAAUUGAAGAAGAAAAAAGUCAUCCACUAUUAUAUAACUCGAAAAUAAAUGUGGAUGGAAAAUUGAUAGAAAUUAAUGUUAGUAACCAGAAUUUAUUGAAUAACCACUUCGCAUUUUUUAUGGUCAGUGAUUCAGUAAACUUUUUUUCGUUGCCAAUUUGAAAUGUGUAAUGAUUAGCACAAGUUAAAGGUCUCCAUGUUCAAGCAACACAACUUACUGCACAGGAAAUGGUGUUAAUUUUUGGUAUUAUAUUCAUCAUCUCCUAACCACAUGAGUCAAUGUGAAGAAAAAGUACAUAUAUGUACCAUAAAGGAAACACUGUACAUACCUCUAUGGGUUCUUAUGUUUGUGAAAUACACCCCCCGCUUGAUCUCUAUGUAUCUCUGUCCCUUUACUCAUACCAAAGUGUUCAUUUGCAAUUGAAGAUGAGAAAUAGAAUAUCAGCAGUGUGACAUAUUUCAUUAUGUCUAUAAUACAAUGAAUGUAAACAAGAUGAGGAUCAGAAUCACUUUGUAAUGCAGGACUUUUCAAGUAUUUAAUAAUAAAUCUGUAAAU
rnacentral:lncRNA from 1 species